rnacentral:rRNA from 2 species
GGAUUACGCUGGCGGCGUGCAUAACACAUGCAAGUCGAACGAUGAAACUUAAAUGAUUUCUUCGGAAUGAACUUAAGUGGAUUAGUGGCGGACGGGUGAGUAACGCGUGAGUAACCUGCCUUACACAAGGGGAUAGCCGUUGGAAACGACGAAUAAUACCCUAUGAAACUAUCACUUCGCAUGAAGCGAUAGUCAAAGUGUUAGCGGUGUAAGACGGACUUGCGUCUGAUCAGCUAGUUGGUGAGAAAAAAGCCCACCAAGGCAACGAUCAGUAGCCGGCUUGAGAGAGUGUACGGCCACAUUGGGACUGAGACACGGCCCAGACUCCUACGGGAGGCAGCAGUGGGGAAUUUUGCACAAUGGGGGAAACCCUGAUGCAGCGACGCCGCGUGAUUUAGAAGGCCUUCGGGUUGUACAAAUCUUUUGUAUAGGAAGAAAAUGACAGUACUAUACGAAUAAGGUCCGGCUAAUUACGUGCCAGCAGCCGCGGUAAUGCGUAAGGACCGAGCGUUGUCCGGAAU